rnacentral:misc_RNA from 1 species
GUAUAUUUCACUUUAUAGGUACAUGUAAAGCACCUGAUUCAACAUUCUAAACAUGAUAGAGAAGUUUGUGAAUAACAUAGACCUGAGAGAUGCAAGGCAAAGCCGACUUCCCAGAAAGAAGUGCAGCAGUCCCAACUCGAAUUAACAAAAAUCCACAAAGCUCCAGGUCUACAAAAUGUGCACAGUUGGGGGAGAAAAUAAAGAUGAAACAAGCGUGCACACGAUACCCCGAGGGGCCAGCAACAACCUGUUCAAGUUUAUUCGAUAAUGAUCCUUCCGCAGGUUCACCUACGGAAA